CGAAAUUUAGGACGCCAAACUUUAGCUAGUUUGUUUCUAAAUUUACCAAUCUCGUCGAGCCCUAGGAUUCUCUUCAGCCUCCCCAAUCGCCUCCAUCUCUAUUCUCGGUCUCAACUCUGAACUUGCCCCCCUCUCUCUCUCUGCAACUCCCCAUUCGCGUCAAUCUCUAUUCUCGUUCUCAACACUGAAGUUCCCCCCCCUCUCUCUCUGCAACUCCCUAAUCGCCUCCAUCUCAAUUCUCUUUUCUCAACUCUGAACUUACCCCCCUCUCUCUCUGCAACUGCUAACUAGAAAAUCUACUAGAAUCAGAAGUUGAAAACCCAUAUAUUUCAGUUUAUCUAUCUGUCUGCAAGAAUCAAAAGUUCAAAACCUAUUACCUAAUCAAAACCCAUAUCUGAUAUGCCAGAUUGUUUAAAAAAUCAAAACCCAUAUCUUUCAGUUUCCAUCGCCCGCUGUUUCAGUUCGCGUUCGCCGUUCGUAAGCUUCAGCCGCUGUGUGUUUUUGUGUAUUGAUCUGUUGAUUAAUCGAUUCCUGAUUUUUUGGAGGAAAGUCGGAGGAAAGAGAGAAGGAUGUGGUGGAAGUGAUGAUGGUAGGCAGCAGGGCGAGUUAGGGUUUGUGAAUGGGAAGGACAGGAGGUUCUUUAUUUAUCUUUUCAUUCUCUGACAUACAAUGUUGUUUUGAUUCUGAUUAAUAUUUUUUUCUUCAUUUUUGGGGCUUUGAUUGCAGUCGUCGACUGUUGUUGAAAUUCCUAGACCAACAUUGUAUGUCAGAGAAUGAAAAGAUCAACAAGUUUAAGUCUCAUGCAGAAACUGAAGAACAGACUGUGUCAGCUUUUGACUUCUUGUAUCUUCCAAUGGAUUUCAAGUAUGUUAUUCCUUGCUCUAGCAGUUCAGCCAUGAAGUCGGGAGUAGGCGAUCUUCAUAUGCUCUCUCUCUCUUUGGUACUCUCUCUCUAUUAAAUCUACAGGAGAAUAUUUGCCAUGGAAGUUAGCAAAAAGAUUUGGUAUGGCUUGAGAGGGUAGCUUCCUUUGAAGAGAAGAGGAGGAAAUAUUCAAAGAGAUGACAAAGAUGAGGAAGGAAACUCAUCAUCUUGAGUUAAGUCUGCAAUGCUACAAGGGCGAUCUGAGUUCUGUGAGGUAUAAAUCCGGAUGAACAACAGCUAGAAGUCACUCAACAGGGUUCAAGCUCGAAAGUUGAUGAGCAAUCAUGUUCAGAAGCAACAAGCUGCAGAGGUGGAGAUUCAUCAGCACGCGAUGACAGAACUGAAGCUAGUGGGACAGCAGCAGCAGCAAGUGUUGGAUCAGUUUCACUUCUAUGGAGAAGAGAAGCAGCCCGGUGGUGUGCUUCAGCUGCAACCUGAAAACCUCCCUUUUCAGCUCUGCCCGUAUUGUACAUAGCUCAUGCCUAUUUACUUGUUGGGAUUCUUGAAUUGGUUAUGUUAUUGGCUGUUUUUUAUUUAUUUCAAAGAUGGGCCAGAGGCAGUUGCAAAAUCUACUCAUUUGUUCCUUUUUUUUUUAGUUUCUUCCGGUUUCUCUUCCUCCUUUUUUAGGGAGUGAUGCAACUUUGUUGAAUGUAUAAUAAAGAUAUUUUCUCAUGGGAUCCCUGUUGGAAUCAAAUAAAGAUUUCUGCUAUAUGUUUAUGA